CCUACGGGAGGCAGCAGUGGGGAAUAUUGGGCAAUGGGCGCAAGCCUGACCCAGCAACGCCGCGUGAAGGAAGAAGGCUCUCGGGUUGUAAACUUCUUUUCUCAGGGACGAAGAAAGUGACGGUACCCGAGGAAUAAGCCACGGCUAACUACGUGCCAGCAGCCGCGGUAAUACGUAGGUGGCAAGCGUUAUCCGGAUUUACUGGGUGUAAAGGGCGUGUAGGUGGGGAAGUAAGUCAGAUGUGAAAACCCCGGGCUCAACCUGUGGCCUGCAUUUGAAACUGGUUUUCUUGAGUAGUGGAGAAGCAGACGGAAUUCCUGGUGUAGCGGUGAAAUGCAUAGAUAUUAGGAAGAACACCGAUGGCGAAGGCAGUCUGCUGGACAGCAACUGACGCUGAGGCGCGAAAGCGUGGGGAGCGAACAGGAUUAGAUACCCCUGUAGUC
rnacentral:rRNA from 1 species